CCUACGGGAGGCAGCAGUGAGGAAUAUUGGUCAAUGGGCGCAAGCCUGACCCAGCCAAGUAGCGUGCAGGAUGACGGCCCUACGGGUUGUAAACUGCUUUUAUGCGGGAAUAAAAUGCCUCACGUGUGUUGCUUUGUAGGUGCCGCAUUAAUAAGGACCGGCUAAUUCCGUGCCAGCAGCCGCGGUAAUACGGAGGGUCCGGGCGUUAUCCGGAUUUAUUGGGUGUAAAGGGAGCGUAGGCCGCAUGUCAAGCGUGCCGUGAAAUCCCGUGGCUCAACCAUGGCACUGCAGCGCGAACUGGCGUGCUUGAGUGCGCGGAACGCAGGCGGAAUUCGUGGUGUAGCGGUGAAAUGCGUAGAUAUGACGAGGAACUCCGAUUGCGAAGGCAGCAUGCUGCAGCGCAACUGACGGUGAGGCUCGAAGGCGCGGGUAUCGAACAGGAUUAGAUACCCGUGUAGUC
rnacentral:rRNA from 1 species